GAUUGCAUCUUUGUUGCUGUUUCUAUACAUUUUCUCCAGAAAAACACCCAAGAACUCCAAGAAACAUUGCAUCCCUGAACCAACCGGUUCAUUGCCACUCAUCGGUCACCUCCAUCUCUUAGGUGGGAAAGAACCAAUCUGCAAGAACCUAGCAACAAUGGCGGACAAACACGGCCCACUCUACUCACUCAAACUCGGAACCCACCGACUUUUAGUGGUAAGCAGUUGGGAAAUCGCCAAGGAUUGUUUCACCAACAAUGACCGAACCUUAGCCACUCGAGCCAGCAUCGCCGCCGGGCGGCACAUGGGUUACGACAACGCUAUCUUUUCGCUCGCCCCAUACGGUGAAUAUUGGCGUAACAUCCGUAAGAUGGCCACCGUCGAGCUUCUUUCAAGCCACCGUUUGGAGAAGCUGAAGCACAUACGGUUCUCCGAAAUAGACUCGUUCAUCAAAGAGUUGUACGGGCUUUCACGAAACGGUGAUAAAGUGACUAUCAGUGAGGCGUUGGAACGGUUGACGUUUAACAUCAACCUUAGGAUGCUCUUCGGAAAACGAUUCUCCGGUAACGAGUACGGGGAAGUAGACAGCGAGCCGUGGCGGUACAUGGAAGCCAUUAAGCGAGCGUUGUAUCUAUUUGGGAUAUACGUUUUGGCGGAUGCUCUGCCGUGGCUCGAACGAUUCCAUAUUCAAGGCCAUGUUCGUUCCAUGAAGGAAACUGCCAAAGAACUCGACUCAGUAAUCAGUGUUUGGCUCGAAGAACAUCUUAAGAAGAAAAGGGAAAACCAGGGUGCCUCUGAAACUGAUUUCAUGGACGUGAUGUUAACUCACUUGCCCGAGGAUACUGUAAUUUCAGGCCAUACACGCGACACCAUUGUCAAAGCGACAACAUUGGUAAUGGUUACAUCACACUAUAUCUUUUAAACUCCUAAUUGACUAAAUUAUUAGUAAGCUUACCUAUUUUUUAGAUAAGAGUUCGCCUUCAUGACGGUGCGAUCCCACAUCGUGCGAUCUCAUAGAAGAAUAAAAACACCUCAAGUACAAACCCUGUAGACUACAAGUUAGGACCAAUCGAGAAUUUGAGUAACGGAUCGAUAAUGACGAGUACCAUAAUAAAUAUUUACUAAUUUAUAUUUUUUUAUUAAUUUUUAAUCAUGAAACCACUUAAACAUUUUUAAUAACUUUAGUUAGAUAAUUAUUUUGAGAAAAAAAUUAAAACUGAAUUUAAGAUGUUGUCAUAUUUUUUUUUUGUUAUUUACGAAAACAUAUUUAAUAUCUUAAACUAGUUUGUUGAGUAUUUUUAUUUUAUUUGCAGUGAAUAGAAUAAUUACUAUUAUUAUAUAAUAUUAUACAUUUAAUUUUCAUAUGAUAACAUGAAAUAUAAAAUUGAAAACAAGCCAAAUGGGUAUUAGUAUUUGAGUUAAAACUCAACUCAUAAUUUUACAAAUUUGUUUUACUUGAAUUUAUUUGAGUGAAUUACAUCCAAUAUCACUAAAUUGUUUGUAAGUUUAUGUUUUGGUUAGUCAACCUUAAAAAGUUACAAAAUUGUUAUUAAACUAUUCUAAAGUGUUCGUUUAAGUUAUUAAACUAUUCGAGUGAAAACAAUUUCUUUUUAUAAAUUCAGGGCGGGUCCGGACAAAACCUUACUUGAGGCCCGAUCCGUUUUCUAGAUGAGUAUUAUUUUUUGGUCUAAACCCAUUUUUCGGAUCUAUAUAUUUACCUAAACUCUCUUAUUUUUCGGGUGGCCUGAACUAUAGAUAGGUCAUAUAGCUUACUCAACUUAUUUUCACGUUUAAUAUUGUUUCCAGCACUUGUUAAUCUUAAAACUUGAACAAGAUUGAAUAUGUGUAUACUUCAUCAUUAUAACCCCACUGCUAUUUGCAGGUUCUUACAUUGACCGGAGGAGAAAGCACAUCAGUGACAAUCACAUGGGUACUUUCUUUACUACUGAACCACCCCAAUGUUCUAAUCGCAGCCCAAGAAGAGAUAGAUCACCACGUUGGAAAACAAAGGUGGGUUGAAGAAUCAGACAUUAAGAACCUCAAAUACCUACAAGCUAUAGUUAAGGAAACUCUACGUUUAUACCCACCAGGACCAAUCACCGGAAUCCGUGAGGCCAUGCAAGAUUGUUGCAUCGCCGGCUACGAUGUUCCAAAAGGGACUCGUUUGAUUGUUAACCUUUGGAAACUACAACGAGACCCACGGGUUUGGGAAAAUGCCAAUGAGUUUCGUCCAGAAAGGUUCAUGACAACACAUGUUGAUUUCGAUGUUAAAGGUAAAAAUUUCGAGUACAUGCCGUUUAGUUCCGGUAGAAGGUCGUGUCCUGGAAUGACGUUUGGGUUGCAAGUUGUGCACUUGACGGUGUCGAAAUUAAUUCAGGGAUUUGAUAUUAGGGUGGCGGAGGGGACCGCGGUGGAUAUGGAAGAAGGCUUGGGACUUGCCUUACCUAAGUUGAAUCCUCUUGAAGUUGUAUUAUCGCCACGCCUUGGAACUGAGUUUUACGAAUGCCUUUAAGAUGGUGAAAAAUAUAUACUAGAAAUUUAGCGUUUUAUAUUUUGAUUAAAUAAUUAUUGGAUGUGAUAAUGGCAUGGUGAUACAGCUUUUAGUUGAGCAUUAAAUAAGUUUACUGAAUGCACUUGGGAAUAAAUGUAAGCACAUUAUUAAAUUUUAAAGUCGAUAUUAGUAAAAAGAUUUUAUUUGAAUAUCAUGUUUAAUUGGAAUAAAAUUAGACCCGAAAUCUAUAACAAAUUACAACACUUAUGCUUAUAGCCGAGAUAUUCUCAUGAACUACCUGGUUGAAGAAAAGUGUGUUUGACAUUGCCAGGUAAAAUUAUUGUAAGGGAUUGAAAUGUUAAAAAAAUGUUUAAAAUAAUAAAAGUCUAGUUAUGUAUAUGGUGUUAUGUGCAAGAUUAUAUUGUUUAUUAUAAUUAUUGUAAAUAAAUUAUUCUUUUUGUUUAGUGUGUAAUUGAAUUUUUAAGGACAGAUUUAUGUACAAGCCCAUUUUGCCCGGGACCCAAUUAACCCAAUCAAUAAACCCAUUACCAGACCCAAACAACACCCAAAACCCAACAAAACAAAAAAUAAAUGACCCAAUACAAUUGGCCCAAUAAUCCCAACAGGCUCAGAACCCAGUCAAACUAGGGUUUCAGAAAACUGAAACCCUAGCCUACCUGCCCUCAGCCGCCGUUGCCCACCACCACUUGCUCCACCAACUCCUCUGGCACCUGCAAGGGAGAGCACACGCAACAACAAGUACAAUGACGGUAGAAAUUGUAAAAAAAUGGUUGUAAUGGGUUAUAAAUAGUCGAAUUUCAUCUUUGUAAGGGGCUUUUGAAAAAAAAAAAAUUGGAAGAAAUAAUAAAAAGUUUUUUAAAGGUGAUUUUCUUUGGUUUUUCCGAUUUCCCUUUUUCCUAUUUUCAUUUUAUUUCUGUUUUCUAAGUGGGUUCUUUCUUCUUUUGUUUUAUUAAAUCAAAUAUAUAUACAUAUAUAUAAGAAGAUAUAGAAUAAAAAUAAAAAAGGGGUUUUUACCUGUUUUCGGCACUAACGGAGAGGAAGAACCGAAAGGUCUCUUUCGAUUUCGGCCCUUUUCGCCGGCAUUUCGACUUUUCUAACCCCGAAUAUGAACCCAACUCAAUUUUUGACAUUAAGCCAUUAACUAAUCAACUAGGUACCAAUUUUGGGCGUUACGAGGGCGCUAAUCCUUCCUCGUACGUAACCGACUCCCGAACCCGUUUUUUGAAUUUCGUAGACCAAAUUCGUUGUUUUAAUAAAAUUAAAUUGUUUAUUAAAAACAACCGCUUUUAAAUGUGAUCCGAUCACACCUUAUGAAAAAGGAUCGGUGGCGACUCCCUUUUUUAUUUUCAUUUUUCAAAACCCAAGUCGACCCCGUUUUCAUCCAAAAAAUGGUGUCAACAAUGUAUAUGGUGUUAUGUGCAAGAUUGAGAGUACUUAUAUUGUUUAUUAUAAUUAUUGUAAAUAAAUUAUUCUUUUUGUUUAGUGUGUGAUUGAAUUUUUAUGGAAAGAUUUAGAAAGGAGGGUGAUUUAGUUAAUAUAUAAGAGCGAAGUUGCAACUUGGUAAAUAAGUUUAACUUAAAUCAAGUAUUAUAUUGUAAAUUAAUAGUGAAUUAAUUUCUAGGUAAGACCACCACACAGGCAUAGGAAGUUUUCUAUCUAUGUAUUUUUACUUUAUUAGUUAGUGAUGCCAGUUACGAGCAUAAAAUGUUUCCAAACCACAUAAUCAAUUGUGUUCAUCUCAAACUUUUAAUGUGCUAGUUAAUAAGGCUUAUUGUAAUUGAAUGCGUAGUUGAAAAUCAACCUUUAUGUGAAACACAUUUUUUUGAAGGGAUAAAUCUCAAAAUUAUAUAUGAACUUUGAAUUAAUGUGUAAUUGUAUACAUGAACUUUAAUUUGGUGUAGUUAGACACGUGAAAUUUUGAUUAUGGUUCAAAUGUGUACUUGAAAUUUUAAUUUUGAUAAAGAAAUAGAUAAAUCAAUCUAUUGUUAUAUUAGAUAAAUAUAAUUAUUUAUAUAUGCAAUAUAUAAACAUAAAAUGAUGUCAUAUCAAUUAUUGUGUUAAUAAUUUACGAGAAUUGGAUCAAAUCAAAAUUUCAUGUAUAAAAUUGCACAAAAUCAAAGUUCAUGUGUUAAACCAAAGUUCAUGUAUAGUUUUGAGAAUUAUUCCUUCAAAUUAGUAUCAUAUUGUUUGAUUAAAUUCCUAUAGAAAAUUAAACUAUUACAAAACAACUAUUUUGAAUUCCUUUUCUUAUUAAUUUAAAAAUAUACAGAGACCUAAUCUUUGAAUAAAUAAAAUAAUGUAAUGUAAGAUCUUUCAUUAAAUGAAAAUUUUUGCACCUUGUUUUUUUCGGCUUGGACAUGCCAUUAAUAAUUUUCAAACUUGGGUAGUCCAAAUACAUUGGUCACACGACCAAAGUCCCAGAAAAUCUAGUCCAAGAAUUGGAAAUAUGGGCUGAACAAGCCAAAAGAGAUAGCUUUGUCGGUUCCAUGUCCCAUGGAGAUGUCCAUUUUGAAUCAUUAGUUUUUUUUAUAUAUUUUUUAUUUUUAAUACAUAUGUUUUGACUUUUAAUUUAUAAUUAAUUUAUACUUUUUUAUAUUUUUAAAUCAUUUUUAUAAUUUUUAUCCAAAAAUGUUUUUUUAAAUAUUUUUCUUUUUUUAAAAAAAACUUUUAGAAUUAGAAUUAAAUUGAAAUUUUUUUGUAAACACCGAGGGUUAAAUUUGUUGAAUUUUUUAAAUUUAAGCUCAAAUUGAUAAAAUAUGUAAACAUUAAAGAGUUAAAUUUAUUAUUAAACCAAUAAAAAAUACCCAUGCCAACUUUCCUUCACCCAUUUAAUGAUAACUAAAAUAUUCGAUUUUGAAAAGUUAAGUAACUAAAAUGAAAAAAAUUAAUAGUUAGGUGACCAAAAUAAAACUAAAUGCAUAAUUCAAUGAUUUAUUUUAUAAUUUAUCCUAUUUAUUAUAUAAUAGUCCUAGAAAAGUGAAUUUUUAUAAUAUUUAAAUGAAUUUUAAACCAUAAAAAAAUUAUUCAUAAACAUAAAUAAAUUCUGACAUUUUAAUAAACAAACAUGGAAAUAUUAUUUAUAUUCAUUUAUGUGACUUAUAAACGAAUAUAAACCGAACAACUCAUUUGACGUGAAUUGUAUAUCCUUCCUCUAAAAUGUCGCUUUAAUUAAAUAUCAUGUCAUCAAGGACAUGCACGUUAAGUGCUUUGAACCAACGAAGUUGUUAAUCACGUGUUGGGACGACUCCAAUCAAUUAAGUACAUACAACUUUAUCAAUUGUGUCAAAAUAUCAAAUAAAAUUUAAGAUUUUAAUAAAUAAGACAUGUAGUAAUAUUUGUUGAAUUAAAAUAUUCUACCAUAUCAAGUUCUAAUCCAUUUUUUAUUUCUUAAAUAUAAUAUAAAAAUACUUUAAUCCAUAAAUUGGUAUCUAAAUUAUACAUUUUUUCUCAUUUUGGUAUCUAAACUUUUUCUUUGGUCACAAGUGAUAUCUAAAUUACUUUUUUUUUCUUCAAGUUGGUAUUUCUGUUAGUUCAACCGUUAGGUCUAUUUAAAAAAAAAAGACUUAGCCCACAAGUUAGUAUCUAAAUUAUGUUUUCCAAAAGUUCUUUCAUUGUUCAAAAUCAAUGUUUUCAGAACCGGAUCAACUAGUUGGAUUGAAAUUCGGUUGAGGUACGAUAGAGGUUGAAUAUAAAGACAAAAUAAUAUUUUUUUGGUCUUUUUAUUUUCUAAAAUGGACUUAACAAUUUAAUUAACGGUUGAACUAAAAAAGGUAUCAACUUGAAAAAAAAAUAUUAGUUUAGGUAUCACUUGUGAAAAAAAUGUUUAGAUACCAAAAUAAGAAAAUGACAUAAUUUAAGUACUAAUUUGUGGGUUAAGCCUAUAAAAAAAUUGUGAUUGGCAUCUUACACUCGCUUGUAUUUUUUCAAACGCAAAUAUAUUCAAAGUAAAAUGAUUAAAUUUAAAAUGUAUGAUGACUUAUUUGGCUCUCCAAUUUAACAAAAAAAAAUCAUUUUAGCUAUUCAUUUAAUUUUUUGCCUCUUUUAGUCCUUGAACUUGCAUUGUUUGUCAAACCAUCCAAAAUGGAUGAAAACUUUACUAAUGGGGCAUCCAUGUGGCAAUCAUGUAUAUGCCACAUCAACAAUUAAUUAAUUUUUUAAAAUUUAAAAAAUAUUAUUUUUAUAAUUUUUAUACUUUUGUACUAAUUUUACUUUUUUUAAUUAAAAAAUUAAUUAAUUGCUAACAUAACAUAUGUGUGACAAUUUACGUGUAUGCCACAUCAACAAAGUUAACAUACAUUAACUUUUCCAUCUAUGUUGAGGUGAUUAGAUAAAUAGCACAAAUUUAAAGACUUUUAAGAGAAGAAAAAUUAAAUAAAAGAUUAAAAUAAAGAUAGUAUUACUUAAAUUAAACUAAAAUCUUUUGAUAUGCAUAAUUGAAGAACUACCUUAUGGAAAAGGUUUUAAUUAACAACUUAAUCAUUUAAUUUCUCUUAGAUAAAUAAAUUCUAUUUGUCUCACUUCGCUUUUGAAUUUCAAUUAAUAUGGUAAGAAUUAGGUUGGUGGUUAAAUUAGUCAUAAUAAUUAAUUUAAGAUUUAAUUAACUGAAUUAGUUUAAUUAUAAAAAAAUUCAAAAAACUAAAUAUUGAAGUUAACUUCGACGUGAUCCAAAAUGUUUUUAAAUGAUUUUUCAUCACCACUUUAAUAAAGUUUUUGUUGGUUCAUUUUUUUCCAAUCCUAAAUAAAAAGAAUAAAAUGUAAUAUAAUUUUAAUAUAAAAUUUCCAUAAUAUUUUUACUAAAUUUAUGUCAUUUUCGUACAUAAACAUAUCGACAGUGCAUAAGAAGAAUCACGCAUAUCUCGUGACACACGAUUGACCCUACCUUGAAAAUAAAUACCUUCGAAAACAAAAUAAUUUUCCAAUCACACAAAUGAUUCUCGCAUAGACAGCAAUAGAUGACUAAAAGAGCACCACACAAAUAUAUUGAUUGUAAUAACCACCUAAUUUGGAAUUAAAUCUUUUGGUGGGCUUUGUAUUAUUAUUGUUGUAAUAACAAAAAGAAAUUGAGUUUUUUUUUUGAAGGUUACAUUAAUAAUAGAAAUUGUAUUAAAAUAUAUUUUUUAUGUGGGUUAAUUAUUUAUAAAUGUAAGUAAAAUUUGUAUUUUUUAUAGGGAUGAAUUUGAAUAAUUAUAUGUGAGGUUUUUGAGAUGCCAACAAAAGAUUUAAUCAUUGCAAUCUCUCCACCUUAACCACAGAAUAAAAAAAUUGAUCAAAUUUUAUUAACUCUCACUCAUAGUGAUCAUUUAUCAAAGAAUGAUUGAAUAACCGGGACUAAUUUACUUACGAUACUUAAUUGGCAUUCAUAAAAAAGUAUCUAAUGAAUUACGAGUUAAAUACAUCCUGUUUAACAAAAAGGUAGAUAUUCCUUGCUCAUUAUCAAACAAUCACUUAUUCACAAACCUCGUUUGGGGCUAAUAGUUUUCAUUUCCCACCUCGUGGAAAACCCUUUUCACUCCGUUUAGCCCUAUCUCCCUCUAAGAGUAUUUUAGCGAUAGGUUUUAUAGGAACCGUACGAUCCUAUUUGUUCAAAUACCUAGCAACAAACUCCUAUGUUCCUUUCAUUACAGUAUUUUUGAACAAGUUCCUGGAUAACAAGCUUAAAUGUUUUCUUAUUGAUGAUAUCGAUAUUGAUGAUAGUGACGAUAUUGAUGCUAGUGAUGCUAUUGAUCGUGACCUUGAUACAGAACUGGAGCUUCUAACUAUGGUGAAUGUGUUAACUAUGGAUAUGAUGUCGGAAAUAGACCGAUUUUAUCUCACCCUUCAAUUCGAACUAGCAAAAGCAAUGUCUCCUUGCAUAAUAUGGAUUCGUAUUGUUGAUAAUAAUUAUACGUGAUGUUAAUAUUAUACAUAAGUUCGGUUAUAAUUUAAAUUGGUCAUACCACGAAUACCUCUAAAUUGAAAAAAAAAUUAUAUAUUUCAAGCAAUUAUGGUUAGUUUUUUUUUAUAUAUUUUUAAGGAGAUUAUAAGUAUAACCACAAGAAUAAAUUAUAAAAUAUACAUUUUCGAUAAAUUAAAACUAGAACAAAUUUAAUGUUAAACACAACAGACUGAAAAUUGAAAUAUAAUUGAGGAUAAUGUGAGUAAGUACAUAUACUGACUUCCUUAAAAAUGGUGGAAUUGUGGUUUAGUCUUAUAGAAAUUGUAAAGUUACUAGCAACCCACAUAACUAUAUAUUCAUACGGGAUGUAAUUCUUUUCCUCGAAUAACGUGAAAAUAUGCCCCUUUUCCCAAAAAAAUUUUAACAUUUUAAUACAAUGAUCGUAUUUUUAAAAUUUUUCAAAAAUUUUUAACUUUCGACAUCAAGACAUUAAUUAAUCAACUGGUACCAAUUUUGGACGUUAUGAGGGUGCUAAUCCUUCCUCGUACGUAACCGACUCCCGAACCCAUUUUCUGAAUUUCGUGGACCAAAAUCAUUGUUUUAAUAAAAUCAAACCGUUUAUUAAAAACAACCACUUUUCGAGGUGAUCCAAUCACACCUCAUCAAAAAAGAUUGGUGGCGACUCCCGUUUUUUUAUUUUUUUAUUUUAUUUUUGUUUUCAAAAUCAAAGUUGACCCCGUUUUUAUCAAAAAAAUGGUGUCAACAGCUUGGCGACUCCAUUGGGGAAUUUAAAAAAAAGAUAUAAGAGAGUCAAGCCAUGUGUUGAUUAUUUUUUUCUUUUGUCGAAAAUUGAAAAACUUGACACGAUCCUUUUAUUGCACUUCAUUUGCCUUUAUUUCGACCUUUAUUAUUUUGUUUAUAAUUACUGCUUUAUUCUGAGUUUAGAUGUAUAUUUCUGCACAUUGCAUUGCAUGACCGUGGGUCACACCCUUUUAAGUGGGAGUGAGAAGCUACGCCUUCGUGAGGUUUUCACCUCCGCAUAGGAUAGUGAAUCGCUUCCGGGAUACAUCCGUACCUAUGUCUUUGUGAGAUUUUCAUCUCCGCAUGGCCAUAGGGAAAUGUAUUCCCCUGAACUGAACUCGGUCAAUAUGAGCCUAUAAUGGGCGAGGAUCGAUGAAUCUGCUGGUUUAGAUACCCUUACUUUAGAACGAAACCACAUGUAGCGAGCCAUAGGGACCCACCUAGAUGGAACUACGCCAAACCUUAGUGCUUACCCAAAUGGAUGCUUUAUUUAUUGUCAUUUACUUUAAAUCUUGCUCUGUGUUUAAUACUGAUUUGCUUUGUUUGUGAUUGCAUGGCAUUUUCAUUCUAAAAGAGGUGUCGAUUCACGUUCAGUAUCUAAAACGAAAGCUUAUCAUGGAAAAGGGAUUUCUUGAUAAAGUAGAAGAUAAUGCAGUUGUGCGAGUAUGGGCUGAGACAAUGCAGCGAGAGAAAGGCGAUAGUCUUACCAAGGGGCACUUGUCAGAAUUGUGGGAUUUCACCCGUAUCAAUGUAAUCCAGAAUGAUCUUCGAGAAAUGAAAAAAAUUUGGGAUCAAUGGGAUAACGAGACCAAGCAGCUGUUCUAUUGUAACUACGGUGACCUGCUUUAUCUGCUCAGUGUCAAAGUGAACAAGUAUUUGUUUCGAGCCCUUACUUAAUUUUGGAAUCCUGCCUACAGUUGUUUCACUUUUGGAAAAGUGGACUUGACGCCUACUAUAGAGGAGUAUACGACCUUGCUUCGGUGCCCAAAGAUUCAGGUCGACAAGGCUUAUUCUAGAGCUGCUUGUGUCCCUCCGUUGUUAAAGAAAUUGAUGAACAUCACUGGGAUGAGCGAGCAGUGGGUUGCUGCCCGAAUCCAGCAAAAAUGCGACAGUAAAUGCGUUCCUUGGAAAAGCUUGUGAGAUUUGGUGCUAGUACACCCUAAUGUAAAGAAAAUGGUCGAUGUCUUCGCUUUAGGUAUCUACGGACUAGUGGUCUUCCCCAAAGCAUUAGGACACAUAGACGAGGCCGUUUUUGAUUUAUUUGAUCAGUUUAGUAAAGGGGUUACUCCCGUUCCGGCAAUACUGGCUGAAACUUUCAGAUCCUUGAAUGCGUGUCGGAGAACAGGUGAGGGAAGGUUUAUUGGAUGCGCGCAACUCUUAUUGGCAUGGUUUCAUAGCCAUUUCUGGAAAGUGGAAAAAGUCUCUUAUCAGGUAUUCUCUGAUAGCUAUUCCCCUCUAGAAGAAUUGGUAGCUGCGCCAAGGCGGGAUGAUGUUUCAGAAGAAAAAUGGAUGGCGAUACUCCAGAAUCUCCAAGAUGAAGAUAUUGAAUGGAGGGCUCCUUGGUUGAUUCCUGAUGAGAUAUUAUACCGGUGCAGAGAUUUUGACUGGGUUCCUCUGCUCGGGAUAUGAGGAGCUAUUGGAUAUGCUCCUCUACUUGUGUCAAGACAGUUUAGAUCACAACAAUUCAUACCAGCAACGCAGGGGUUGGCCCAUUGUAAAUUUUCCUAUAAGGAGGAAAAUUACAAGAAAAAGGCUCGAGAAAUGUCUAAUGCCUGAAACCAAACUCACCGAAUGAAGAUCUUAGUUGUGGGUCCGGCGAUGACCCCCGAGUAUAGUCAGUGGCGUGAUCAAAGGGUCAAAGACAAUAUCCCGGCGUCAAAUCCAGAAACUGGUCGAUCUUUAGAGGAACACCUACAAGUAUUGCCCUCUGAGAUAGAAAUCAUCAAACAAGAAUUUGAAAAGAGGAGUUUGGAGUUAGGGAAGAAAAUAGAGCAACUAGAAGAAGAAAAAAAUGCAGUUAGGACUGGAUGUGGACAUUCAAAUAUUAGAGGCCGACAAAUUGAGAAAAGGAAAGAAUAAGACAGAAGAAGAUUUAGACAGCCUGAAGACGGAUUAUAAGAAGUUGCGUAGGUCAAUAAGAACUGCCGGCUUGGGUAAGACGUCAGAACAACGGCGACAGGAAAUCCAGGAGGAAAAGAUGAAAGCGAAUCAAUGGGAAAAGAAAUUUCAGGAUACUCGAGUUCGAGAAGUUGCUUUGGAAAAGAGUCUAUUAGUCUGCCAAAACGAGAAGACGGAGUUGAAUGCCCGAGUGACUGGGCUAGAAAGGUCACUUCACCAGUACCAUAGUCGUAAUUCUGCGGUUGAAUUAAAGGAAAGUUCGGACAAAAUUGAAGAAUUAAAGGGACAAGUAGGAGAGCUCGAGGAUGCAUUAGAAAACAGCGAACUCCGAAUAGAGCUUCUGGAAAGAAGGAAUGAGCAGUGGCAAAGGCAAUUCUAUUGGUCUCAAGAUCAAAUUAGAGAAAGAGAUUAUAUUAUGGGCGAGGCGGUGGCCCAAGUACGCGGAGUAGCUGAUCAUCUACAAACCCUGGCGGUUCAGGCUGAUCUAUUAAGUUUGAAGUAUGAGUCGGAAUCAGACCGGGGCUGAGAAUUAGCUUGGCUUCUUAGAAAGGUUAAGGCUUCGAGUAUAAGGGCAAAGCCGUAUAUGUAAUCUAUUUUAUGUAAAGAAACUUUUUCUCUAGUAAAGUUUCUAAUGAAGUUGAAUUAGAAUCAGUGCCUCUUUUUGCAUUCAUAUCAUGCAUUUACAUUACAUCAUAUGUAUCAAGUUCAUAAAAUGACUCUAAUAAUUUAAAAUAUGACAGUUACCUUGGAAACCGACAAAAACCCAUCAAUCAAAUAUCACUACGGUACUCGUUGUCAAACAAAAGUAAUGGAUCAGAGGUUAGAAAAGCUAGAACAAAUGCAAAAAGAAAUGCAAGAUAAGAUGCAAGAACAAUUGGAUAAAAUCCAACAAGAUGCGCUGGAAUCCCAAAGAAUUAUGAGCCAACUGGCACAAUUAUUGGUUGAUAAAGGAAAGAGCCCUCUAAUCAAUUCAGGAGUCGAUCAGGAGGACCCUGUUUAUCCUCCAGGCUUCACUCUGAUGAAUACCCAAGCACAACCAGAGAUGUGCCCGCAGAGAGCACUUGUCACUAUUAGGCCUUAAUACCAGGAUGGCACCGCAGUACCUACGAAUUUUCAAACGGGUUCGGGUUCUAAUCCCGGAGAGAAUCCUACCAAUCCCAUGGUUCCUGAUCUUGAUGACGUGGCAAAAAUGGAGAAAGCAAAAAUGGAUCUGUCUAAACAACUAGAAGACCGGUGUAAAUGGCUAGAGGAAAAGUUUAAAGCCAUGGAAAAUGCUGAUAACCACCGAGGAAUGGACGUUAAAGAUUUGAGCUUGGUACCCGAUUUGGUCCUCUCUCCCAAAUUUAAAAUGCCAGAGUUUGAGAAAUAUAACGGGACAAGUUGUCCCGAAGCCCAUAUCACUAUGUUUUGUCGAAUAAUGACCGGAUACAUCAACAGUGAUCAACUGCUGAUUCACUGCUUCCAGGACAGUUUGAUCGGGUCAGCGGCUAGAUGGUACAAUCAAUUGAGUCAGGCCAACAUCCAUUCAUGGAAAGAUUUGGCGCAGGCCUUUAUAAAGUAGUACAGGCAUGUGAUGGAUAUAGAACCCGAUCGAAUUGUAUUGCAAAACAUGGAAAAGAAACCUAAUGAGAGCUUUCGACAGUUUGCUUAGAGAUGGAGGGAGGUGGCAGCACAAGUUCAACCACCACUUUUAGAGAAGAAGAUAACCAUGCUUUUUAUCAAUAAUUUGAAAGCUCCAUUUCUCAAUCAUAUGUUGGGCAGUGCCACUAAAAGCUUUUCAGACAUAGUGAUAUCUGGAGAAAUGAUAGAGAACGCCGUAAAAUGUGGCAAGAUAGAAGCAGGAGAAAGCACUAAAAGGUCAGCACCAAGAAAGAAGGAGCACGAGAUAAACGAUACAAGCACAUUUAACAAGGACCAUUCUAAAUCAAUCACGGUAGGACAAGCAAGAGCAGUAACCGCUAAUCAGUAAGUUUCUUCGAAACAGGAAUCCAAUCCAAGGCCAAAUGUAGAGAGGCCUCAAUUGACACCCAUCCCAGUGACGUAUAGGGAAUUGUACCAGAACUUAUUCGAUGCACAUGUGGUAUCUCCAUUUUACCUAAAACCUAUGCAGCCUCUAUACCCUAAGUGGUAUGAUGCAAACGCCCAAUGCGAGUAUCACGCGGGGACUAAGGGGCACUCGAUUGAGAAUUGCAUUGCAUUCAAGAAGUUAGUUGAAAAACUUAUCAAUUUGGGGAUCGUAAAGAUUGGUGACUCAUCAGGACCAAAUGUAGCAGGGAAUCCGUUGCCCAAUCAUGAUGAUAAAGAGGUGAAUGCGAUAAUUGAGUAUGGAGGAAGGAGAGUCAAAGCCAACGUAGCAGAGAUAAAGACCCCCCUUGAAUGGGUUUGGAAACAAAUGAUGAAAGAAGGUCUCAUCAAGCAAGAUUCAAUAAAAAGGCCUAAAGGAGUAAGGAAGUUUUGUAAGUUCCACGCAGAAGAAGGCCACAACAUCCAAAAAUGCACUGAGUUCAGAACCAUGGUGCAAAACUUAAUGGAUAACAAAGAGUUGGAGUUUUAUGAAGAGAUCAAGGGACUAGAAGAAGGAGAAGUUUAUGCUUCAGAGGAAGGAUUUAAGGGGAAAGCACAAGAGGUUAAUUACCCAGUAGUGAUUAUUUUGAAGCCAAUGAGCAAAGAAUCUGGAAUACAAAUAGCGUCAAAAGUCAUAAUCAAAAAACCUGUAUCCUUUCCCUACAAGGAUAGUAAAAAGGUUCAUUGGAAUUACGACUGCAAUGUGACAAUCCCAGGAAAAGAGAGCUUCGUAAAUACUUCAGAAGAGGAUGAAAAAUUCUAUACACGAAGUGGAAAAUGCUAUGAUCCGGCAAAUGCAAGAGUGGAAUCUGGAAAAGGAAAAGCCUUAGCAGUUGAGCUGGGAAAAGCAAAAACGAACAAAAUUGAAUCGCAUGUCAAUCAGCCGGUAACUGAAAAUGAGGCUAGAGAAUUUCUAAAAGUCUUAAAACAUAGCGAGUACAGCGUGGUAGAACAAUUACAUAAGCAACCGGCUCGUAUCUCGGUGCUUGAGUUUCUUCUAAGUUCAGAGAUACAUCGUAAUGCGUUGAUUAAGGUGCUAAAUGAAACUUAUGUCGCUAACGAUAUCUCAGUGAAUAAGUUGGACGGCUUGGUUAACAAUAUAAGUGCUGACAAUUUUAUUUUCUUUAAUGAUGAUGAAAUACCGCCGGGGGGAAGAGGAGCCACCAAAGCCUUACAUAUCACCGCUCGUUGUGGGGAAUAUAUGUUGUCGGGUGUGCUAAUUUAUAAUUUAUAAUGGAUCAGCCUUGAACGUCUUACCCUUAUCCACCUUAUGCAGGUUACCGGUGGAUAGCUCUCACAUGAAAUCAUGCCAGAAUAUAGUGAAAGCAUUUGAUGGUACCGAAAGGAGGGUGAUGGGAAGAAUAGAAAUACCCCUCUUGAUUGGCCUAAAUACAUACGAGGUGGAUUUCUUAGUGAUGGAUAUCAAGCCUUCCUAUAAUUGCUUACUAGGAAGACCCUGGAUUCAUUCAAAAGGAGCGGUGCCUUCAUCAUUGCACCAGAAGUUGAAAGUGAUGGAUAUCAAGCCUUCGUAUAAUUGCACAUGUUGGUUUUGUGCAUGGCCAAAUGACUUUGUGUUGGAUAAGAGAUUGCUGAUUAUGUUAAGUGCUAAAAGGUGAUGGCCGAAUGUUUAAUAAUCUUUGUUUUUGAUUAAUUGGAUGUGUAAGUGCCGAAUGUAUCUUCUAAUUGUACGUUUAUUGGGAUGUAUGAUGAGUUACAGUUGAUUGAUUGAAUGAAAAAAAAUUGUCAUUGAUUCUUAUCGUAUAUAUUGAUUGUAUGUAAAGCAUGCCAUUGAUAUUGUUUUACUAAAUGCAUGUAUAGCAUGCGACCGUACUGAAAUUGUUACAGAUAAUGCAUGAUGUGCUACAUUGUUACAUGUCAUAUUGCAUUGCAUGGGUUUUGGGAUUUGAUGGGUGGCAGAGGAGUUCCAUGGAGUACCGGAGGAUUAUCCACAUUAUUAUUUUAGCUAUAUAUCUAUGCCUUGGAAUAUUAUUAGAGUAUGGCGACUUAUUGCAACUUACUGGCAGUUUAUCUACAACUACUGACAGUUUAAUUGCAUAUUGAUAUUAGUGGUUUAUCCACAUCGAGCUUCGGCUCUUAUUGCUUUUGGUGUUUGGAUGAUGGGCUUUAGAAAAAUUGUGGUGUGUAGCGGAUGGAUGGGUAGGACCUUUGCACCGAUUUGCAUUUGAACAUGCCCAUGCAUAUUUACUGUUUAUUGAAUUGCUAAGAUCUAUUACGAACAUUGAUAUUGAUGGCUACGUACCCUACUGUGAUUGUUUGAAUGUUUGUAUUAUUAUUUUUUGUUCUUUUAAGACUCACACUGAGCUUUUCAAGAUCACCCCCUUUACUUUUUACAGAUAACCCUCAAGGUUAGGAUCGGACUCGGCAUACAAAGGUCUCGUCUCAAAUUUUUAGUUAAUAAAGUAUUUUAAUUUUACUUUAUUUAUUUUUGUUUUUAUUUUGAGACUGUAAAUUUUGUUAAUAUGGAUUGUGGCAUGGGUUGUUUUUAUUUGGUUUUUGCAUGUAUGGAAUUUUGGAUAAAAAUAGAGAAAAUUUAAUAACUGGCUUAAUAUGACUUAAAACAUAGAUUUUCUUACAAAAAUUAAAGGCAUCACUUUUUCCGCUGCAUAAUAAUGAAAUAGAAUUUUUAAAAGCAUAAUGACGAAAUCAAUUGAGUUUUUCAAAUGAUACGAAUUUUUAAUAAACUAGACUUAAAUCAUAGAUGACCUAAUACUUUGAUGUUUUUAAUAAACCUAAGGCAACCACGUCAAGUUUCAAAAAAAAUCAAAAUAGAGGUUUUCAAACUGAACGAAUUUACUUGGCCAUUUCAGUGGAUAGCAUUCAAAAUUUGACCGUAAUGUCUAGGCUGGGUUUGGAAGGUUACAUUUGGUGGUACCAAAGCCUGGUUCAUAAAUUCGGCUUGAGGUUUUAAGUGAAUUUGCAUGCAUAAUUUUGAAAAGGGGUAUUCUGGGAAAAACCAUGCCACAAUAUUUUGAAAAAAAUGUGUUAUUUUCAAAAAUGAAAUUCCAAGACUCUGAUGCUAAUCCUUAUAGUACUCUUGAAAUUAUAGACAAACACUAAAGAGGGUAUUGUUUAAAACUGUAGACAUUAGAACUGAAAAAUUUUAGGAAAUAAUUAGAGUUUGUAUCUUUCUGAAAUUGUAGAUAAAACAUAAGGUUGUAAAAAAUUAUAUGAAUACCUAAGGUAUGCGAACUCGAGGAGUGCAACGUCGAGCAGCUCAAGUGAGUCAUAUGUUUCUCAAGGGCUUAUGCUUGACCUUGAGAUGAGUGACACCAUGGAUACACCUAUCGCUGAAGGUGAAAAUUAAGAGACUGGGAUGAUGUAGUGUCCCAAACAAUGUUGGGAGUUUUAAAAAAGGGUUUUCAAUACUAUGGUUGAGAAGACCAAGAUAAUGGAAGGGAGUAAGCGCUUGGAGCGCGAAAAAAAGGAAAAAAAUAAAGUACAAAAUAAGAGGGGUUUUGGUCCUACUGGCUCGAAUCUGCGAUCUUUGAAGUGAGUUAAAAAGGGCAAAUCUCGGCAGAAUGUUGCAGCAGCGAGUAUUGAAAGUUCUAUUGGAUUAACAAGAAUUCUAGUUUGUAGGUAUUGUAAUAAGUUCUAUUCGGGCGAGUGUUGGAAAUAGUAAGGUGCAUGUUUGAGAUGUGGGUCUAUUAAGCACUGUUGUAAGGAUUGUCCACGUCGUCCUUCUAGUUUGAUGCAAGCUCCGAAUUAGAUUCAGAACCAGAGAGCUAGACAACUACCCUUGAGGGGUACGGUUAGAAUUGAGGCUAGAUAGCUGACAUUAGUUUAUAUAGCAAGAGGUUCAAGAUGCAUUUGAUGUUGUUGUAGAUACUUUUACGACCCAUUCUAAUUUGUUCCUUACAUUGACUGAGAUUGGUUUUACCCAAUUGGUUGUUGUUAGGAGUGUUUUUGUUUAACUGAGAAUUUAGGGUAGAUGAAACUGUUAGUGAAGUUACUGUAGUUAGUCUUUUGGGAUAGACCAUGGUAGUGAGUAGGAUCUUCAAGAGAAGUCCGUUGGAGGUUUAAGGAGAAGUAUUGUCUAGAUUGUACUAGAAUAAGAUUUGCACAGUAGAAGUAUAGUGGUCGGUUUGAAAAUAGGGAUAAUAGAUUUUGUGGCUAAGUGGUUGGCAUGCCAGCAGGGGAAUUUUGGGGAUGAAAUUUCUUUUCAGGAGGAGGGAGUUGUUACAUCCCAAAGAUCAGGUUAGUAAAAUCUAGUUUUUGAACCGAGAGUGGUCACACCUCGAUUUUUAAGGUUAUCUUUGUGCAUGUGUUAAAAAAAUGAGUUACUGGUCUAAUGGUUAAAUGUUAGUGAAACUGUCCUUCAAACUAAGUUCGAAUCCCUUCUUUCGUAUCAUUUUUAUUUUGUGCAAAUUUACUUCAAACCCUAUAGUGUGUCAUCCAUGCCUAUAGAAACCCUAAUAUAUAUGUUUUUUUUCUCUUCUAUUUAGCCUUUUGCUCACUUGUUUUUCCUCGCCAUCCCACCCUCUCAUUUUCUCUCUUUUCCUUAAUUUUUCUCUCAUUUCUUCUUUAUUGUGCCGUCCUAACCCUAAUUAUUUUGCAACUUUGUGUCGCCCCUUCUCUUUUCCUAUCCUUUUGUUGUUGUCCCUUUACUUCCAUUUUUUUCUUCUUCAUUGCUAUCGUCCUAAUGAUCAAACACCACCCUUGCCACCCUUGCCCUUUUGCUUCUGUUCUUCUACUCUCUUUGUUUUUCUGUUAUUGCAUAUCUAAGAAAAGUGUAAGUUGUCUAGAUCUGAUCUAAUCUUGUUCUUUUCUUUCUUUUUCCUAUGAUGGUCAUAUUUUUUGAGUGCUAACUUUGUGAAUUUUCUUUGUUAAUGGUCAAAAUUUGAACUCCUUAGAUCUCUAGUAAAGUUUGGGGUCAUUUGCAUCUUCAUUUGAUCGAUAGAAGAGUAAGUGAUCUUGGAAAUUCAGAUAUGAAAUUUUAGUUUGUUUCUUAAUUUGGAUGAACCCUAUAUGAGUGUUGAAGGUUAGUUUUAAUCGUGUUUUAGGUGUGUUAUGUAUAGGUCUAAUUGGGAUCUGUCUAGAUCUAAAUGUAGAAGCUGCAGGUUCACGAUAGUGCUUCAGUUUCGCGUUAAUCAAGUGUGGGUCUUACCUUUUGGUGUUUUGGUGAUUAUUGAAUUAUGUGGUACACAUGUUGGUCAAUUGUACAUGCUGAUUUUGUUCAUGGUCAAAUGACUUUGUGUUGGAUAAGGGAUUGCCGAUCAUGAUAAGUGCUAAAAGGUGAUGGUCGAAUGUUUAAGAACCUUUGUUUGUGAUUAAUUGGAUGUGUAAGUGUUGAAUGUAUUCUGAUUUUAUGUUUAUUGGGAUGUAUGAUGAGUUACUUUUGAUUGUUUGCAUAAAAAAAACAUGUUACUAAUUAUUAUUGUAUAUAUCGAUUGCAUGUAAAACAUACUGCUGAUAUCGUUUUAUUGAAUGCAUGUAUAACAUGCUACAGUACUGAAAUUGUUACUGAUAAAGCAUGAUGUGCUACAUUGUUACAUGUGAUAUUGCAUUGCAUGGGUUUUGGGAUUUGAUGGGUGACGGAAGAGUUCCAUAGAGUAUGAGAGGAUUAUUUGCAUUAUUUUUUAAUAGUAUAUUUGUGCCCCGGAGUAUUGUCGGAGUACCAGUGACUUAUCACAACUUACUUGCAGCUUGUAUGCAAAAUAUUUGUAGUUUAACUGUAUAUUGAUAUUGGUGGUUUAUCCAUAUCGAGCUUCGGAUCUUAUUAUUUUUGGUGUUCGGAUGAUGGGUUCUGGGGAAUUCGUGGUGUGUAGCGGAUGGAUGAAUAGGACCUUUGCACUGCUUUGCAUUUGAACAUGCAAAUGCAUAUUCAUUGUUUAUUCAAUUGCUAGGAUCUAUUAUGGACAUUGAUAUUGAUGGCUAUGUGUCCUACUGUGAUUGUUUGAAUGUUUAUAUUACUACUGUUUGUUCUGUUAAGACUUACACUGAGCUUUUCAAGCUCACCCCUUUAGCUUACUUCUUACAAAUAACCCUUAAGGUUAGGAUCAGACUCUCCAUAUGGAGGCCUCAUCUCAAAUUUUUAGUUAAUAAAGUAUUUUAAUUUUAAUUUAUUUAUUUCGGUUUUUAUUUUGGGAUUGUAAAUUUUGUUAAUAUGGGUUGUGGCAUGUGUUGUUUUUAUUUGGUUUUUGUAUGCAUGGAAUUUUGGAUAAAAAUCGACAAAAUUUAAAAAUCGGCUUUAUGUAACUUAAAACAUGAAUUUUCUUACAAAAAUUAAAGGCAUCACCUUUUUCGUUGCGUAAUAAUGAACGGAGUUUUUAAAGGCAUGAUAACGGAAGUAAUUGAGUUUUGCAAACGACACAACUUUUUAAUAAACAGGACUUAAAUCAUAGAUGACCUAAUAAUUUGAUAUUUUUAAUAAACCUAAGGCAACCAUUUUAAGUUCAAAAAAUUUGAGCAAAAUAGAGGUUUUCAAACUGAACAGAUUUACUUGGUCAUUUUGGUGGCUAAUGUAGCCUUUAGGAUUCGGCCGUAACGUCUGGGCCGAUUUUGAGAGGUUACAUAAUCCUUUAAAAAUUAUAAAGAUAUAGGCUAUUAAAAUGAUCAAAUUGCUUUUUUUACUAUCGUAAAAAUAUACAAUUGAAUUUCGAUCCCCUAAAAAAAUUUUCUAGCUUCGCUCCUAAUUGCAGCCAAUAAUUAUUGAUAAAAUACAAAUAGAUUUAAAGCCUCAAAUUGCAUAAAGUUCUUGUCUAAGGGAUACAAAAACUUAAUAAAAGAUUUCUCGAAUCGGUAAUGAAUUGCGUUUAUGAUAUUUGUGUUCUUGCUUAUAUAUUUUUUUCCCGAGCCAUAGAUUUCUCAGUAUAAUUUGACUUUUAGUUCUAUGUUGUUACUAUAUGUAUUGCUUUGGAAUUAAUCUUCCUAUGUACCGAGCCUUAAUUAUGGAGGAUUAUUAGAAAAGAAAUUUGUAAGUAGUUGGGAGGUAAAAGUACGAUGGAUGCCACAUGUUAAAACUUGGUGUAACUGAUGAAAUAACCAAACAGUGACAUGUGGCAUGCCACGUGUUUCUCAUGUUGACAUAUAGAGACCAAUUUUAACAAUAAAAAUGAAUGAAAUUUUUAAUAGAAGGAUCAAUUUACUUUUUGAUCUAAUGUACAUGGACAAUUUACUUAUUUUUUAAUAGAAAGGGCCAAAUAUAAUUUGACUUUUAGUAUAAGGGCCUCUAUGAUACUUUUACUGAACCUGAGGCUCCCUAUGUUGUAAAUAAAGUGUAAAUUAGCUAAAAAAAACCAAUUAUGAAGAAAAAGAAACAGGGAUUUAGACAUAUUUUUAUAAUUACGAUUUUUUUAUUAUUUAAAGAAAUAUGCCAUUUUUGCUGACAGGACACAAAGCACACCCUACAUUUAACAUGUCAUCUUCCCUGGUCGGUUGUUAAAUAUUGAUGUUUUUAGCUAUCCACCCUAUGUUCAAGUCCUCCCCCAAGCAAGUUUGAUGAUUCUUUUUAAUGCAUGUUGUUUUAAGCUUUAUUUUAUUUUAUUUUAAUUCAUGUCUUUAAUUGAUAAAUAUUUUUAUAGAAAAAUAAAUAAAUAAAUAUGUAAUUAUAUAAUGAAAUUAUAUAAUUGAUAUAUAUCAUUAUGUUAAAUUUGUUUUUGAUAAAUAUGUAAUUAUAAAAUUGGCCUAAAAAUUAUAUUUACUAAAAAUAAUAAUAUUUAAAAUAAUUAUUUGAUUUUAUAAUAGUAGAAUUUAUCAUAUCCACUUUGUUGGUGAAAAAACAAUGGUAUUUGAAAUAAUUAUUUGAUCUUAUAAUAUUAGAAUUUAUCAUGCCCACAAUGUCACGCCUCAAAUUGUGGGUUCAAUUUCUGGGUUAUUUCUGUUAUCGUUAAAUUUAUUUAAUUUUCUACUUGAGUUUGCAAUUGGGCUUCUAUUUGGGCCUAAUCUGUUAGAAGGCCUAAAGCCCUAGUACAAUAAACCCUAAACAGUAUAUCAUAGUGUCUUCUAACCCUAGGUAUAUAAGCAACUUUUGUUUGACUGGACCUUCUUUUGCUUCUUUUGUUUUUCUGUUGUUGCCCCUUUCUCUAUGUUUUUUUUCUUUUCUUUUCCCUAUUCUCUUCCCUUAUGCCACACCAUUUAUUUCUCCUUUCAUCUUCCUCUUUUUUCUCUCCUUUCUUCUUUCUUUUUUCUCUUACCGCCGCACUCUACAUCUAUUUCUCCGUUUCGAUUUUACAUUGAGGCAUUUCUCCAUUGUGUGAUGCAAUCUUCUCCCUUUUCGACCGGUAGAUUGGUAAGUUCCUUUUAUCGUUUAGAUUUGGUUGUUGAUGUGUUUUUGAGUGUAUGAUCUUCACUCAUUCUUUCAAUUUGCCUAACCGAUUUCUUUUAGAUUUUUUCGAAAGCCUUAAUACCGAUUACUAACUUACGUAUCUUGUGUGAAUAUGUCAUUUGAAGGACUGGAUCUAGGGGUGUUGGAUCAGAUCUAAGUGUGUGAAGUGCUAAACGAGUCAGUGGUGAAAGGUGUGUGUCCUAUCCAUGAAAAUUGGUGGCAAACCAUUUGUGUAUUUUUGGAUCAUAUGGUCUACCAAACGAGCAUGUGUCCCACAUGAUUGGUCAACAUGAUCAUGUGCUAUUGUAAAUUUAGGGUAUUUUUACUCACACGGUCACAGCUAGUUACACGUCCAAUCACUCGGUCUUGUGACUAUUGUUGGAGAUUUUGCUUAUUGAUCACACGAAUUCAGUGAGUUACACGGCCUGGACACAAGCCCGUGUACCUCAAUGCCACACAGCAUCAACCUUUCACACGGUCUAGCCACAUGGCCAUGUGACCUUUGUUUUACAGUUUUGCCUUAAUUUUUGUGAAAUAUUUCAGUUUAGUCCUUGUAUAAUCCCCAACUUGUUUAAAGUUCUCGUAAGCUCAAUUGAGACACUUUUUCCAUAUUUGUUCUGAAAUAUGUGAUCUGUUUGAUUAUGUAUUAAAUUUGAAAUUGCUGCUGAUAUAUAUUCACUGAUACUGUUAAAACUACAACUGCUACUGUUUGUAUGAUAAUCGCAUUAUCAUAUUGUUAUCAUUACUGUUUAUUGAUUUAUAAAAGCAUGUCAUACUAUUGUAUUGGGAUUGGGUUGUUGAAGGAGGAAGUGCUACUGGCGGUUUAUUCGCAUAUCUACUGGAAGUUUAUCUACAAAUCUACUGGCGGUUAUUUGUAUAUCUACUGGCAGUAUAUCCACACGAGCUUAUGCUCCCACUGUUAUGGUGUAUAGGGUUGGACGAGUUUUGGGGAACUCUUAUUAUGGAGUGUAACGAAUGGGUGGGUAGGAAAAUUCUAUAGUUAAUCCUGUAUAUUGCAUACUUACUGAUAUCACUGUGAGAUUGAUAAUCUGAAAUGUAUUAUAUAUUGCAAAACUGUAUGUUAUCAUUUACUGUUUAAUUUGCUUACUGCUUGUGUGUUAAGACCACACUGAGUUUUAUAAACCAUUCUUUAGUUUCCCAUCUUUUUGGAUAAUUAUUGAGGUUAGGGUUCGAACUCGACAUUUGGACCAUUGUCACCGAUUUUAUACAAAGUAUUUUAAACCCCGUUUUAUAAACUUUGUUGAUUUUUGCAUUAUUUACAUACGGACUGUGACAUGGACUUUACUAUUCCAUAUGGGUGUUAAAUUUUGAGAUUUGACGUUAUUUGGUUUUGGCAUUAAACACAAAUAUGAUUAAGAAUUUUUUAGUUAUUAUUUCAAAUUAUUUCCAACUAGCCUAAAUAUGGAUUUUCCAAUUGACUUUGUAAUUAAAAUUAAGUAAAUGAGAUAUUUAAAAUAAAUUAAUGUUUUUUUUAAAAUGGAUUAGAUUUUAAAUGUGAUUUUUAAAAUUGGAUCAAAAUUAUUUUUCUAAAAGCAAAAUUUACCUAUGCUAUUAUGAGUUAAAAUAAAUAAAUAUACACGUGUAUAUAUAUUGAAAACUUAAGUGACGAUUUCUUUUAAUAACCACUGAGACUUGUAUUGUCAAACUCUUUUUACUGAACUCAAAAGCUUUACUGGGCCAUUUCAGUGGCUAAUGUCACUUUCAUGAUUUGACUAUAAAAUUCGGGCUGGGUUAGGGAGGUUAUACAUAAUGUAGGUGGAUAAGUAAAAUAUUUGACAUACCAAAGUUAUAUAAGGAGAAAUUAAAAUUUUAAUUCAUACUUUUAAAGAAUAAAAUAUUUCUUUUAACAUAAUGAUAUAGAAAAAUAUAUAUUUCCAUUAUGUAAUUACAUAUUUAUUAUUUUAUUUAUAUAAAUAAUGGAAGUAUUAAUUUAAAAAAUAUUUUUGACAUAAUGAUAUAUAUAAAAUGUAUAUUUUAUUAUAUAAUUACAUUUUUAUUAUUUUUAUAAAUAAAAGAGUUAUUAAUUUAAAAUACAUUUAGCAUAAUGAUUUAUGUAAAAAAUAUAUAUUUUGAUUAUAUAAGUACAUGUUUAUUAUUUUGUUUAUAUAAAUAAAUGAUUUAUUGUAACACCCCUAACCUUUAUUUGUCGCCGGAUUAGGGUUAUAGAGCAUUACUGUACACUCGAAACAUUUAAACUUAAUUUCAUUCAAUAUCAUAAACAUAACAUAAACCAUUCAUACAUACAUACACCGUCCCUAUAUUGAGCCAUUGAGUCCCAAGAAACACCUUAGAAAGAAUUUGAGACUAAAUUGAAAUCAUUUGAAAGUAUAGAAAAAAGUUACAAAAAUUUGGAUAUAGGGGUCACACGGCCAUGUGGCUAGACUGUGUAACCUUCAAACUAGGGACACAUGACCGUGUCCUAGUGUAACACCCCUAGCCCGUAUCCGUAGCCAGGUUAGAGCUACGGAGUGUUACCGAAGCAUAAUUUUAAGGUACAAUUAGUUAACAUUAACAAUUCAUCACAUAAUUCAUAAAAAAAUCAACCAAAUUCAUACAUGCAGUCCCUUUUACGAGCCCUCAAGGCCUUAAAAAUGUAUUAGAAAUAAAUCGGGACUAAAUCAGAAACAUAUUAAAUUUUUCAGAAAAAAUUAAAAAUUUUCAAACUGUAGGGGUCACACGGUCAAGAGACAUGCCCAUGUCUUAGGCCGUGUGGGCAUUCGAAAUAGGGACACACGGCCAUGUCCCAGCUCGUGUCUGUACUCGUGUAACUCACUGACUUGGGUCACACGGCCAAGCCACACACUCGUGUGCCAAGCUGUGUACCCUCGAAAUAACUCCACACGCUCAUGUGCCAGGCCGUGUAACAGCCUGACUUGCAAACCUUUGAAAGCUAUAGGGGACACAUAGCCAUAUCAUCUGGCCAUAUGUCACACACGGCUGAGACACAUGCCCGUGUAGAUGAAAACUAGGCCAUUUCGAAGCCAUUUUUCUCACCCAAACUCACACCACAUGCACAAGCCAUUUGCAGCUAAAAUCAAGCAUUCAAAACACAUUUUGCAUAUGCAUAUCCAAGCUUAUACAACAUAGAAACUAUCCAUUCAACCAAUAUGCCAAAAUGACACCUCAAUUUCAACAAUCAAACUUACCUAACACCUAACCAUUUCAUUCACUAAAAUUUACCAAUUGAACAACUUCAAAGCCACUUUUAUCCAUAUGUUCAUAUACUAAAAUGCAUACACAACCAAUACCAAAUGACCAUUUUCCCAACUAACAAUACCAUACUAAUUUGACCAAAAGAUGAUCACUUCCAAACUACCAAAAGUAGCCAUUUACAACACCAUGCUACAUUCAUUCCACACCAACCAUUCAUUGUUACCAUACCAUUUCCAUCAACAUUUCCUUACCAUCAUCUUAACCAACAUAACAUCAAAUUAUCAACCACACAAAAUACCAUAUAAUCUUAAUAUCAUACCAACUAAUUCAUCAACCAAGAUAACAUAUAUACAAACCACACAUAAUGGCUAGAUUCAUUAAACAAAACACCUAUACAUGUCAUUAUAACCAUGACUCAAAAUCAUCAAAAUCUACCAAUUUAACUGACGGAUAGUGUGAUGGAUCUCCAAUAAGCUUCUAACCCGCACGAACCUCCGAUUAUCUAGAAACAUAGGAGAAAAUCACACAAGUAAGCAUAUAAUGCUUAGUAAGUUAGUAAAUCAUAAACAAUACUUACCAUUUCAUUAUAAAAUCUUAAAGGCAAAAUAGUGAACUUAUCCAACAUUGCUUGGCACAAGCCUAAGCACCAACAAAAAUUCACAAUAGUGAUUAACAUAUAACUUAAUCAAAUUCAUUACACAACAAAGAGCUUCCUUAAGCUUUCCAUGUAAACAUUUUUACUAAAAAUCUUUAAUCACUAUCAUUUCAUACCUUUCUCAUGCUUUCGUGACAUUAUAAGUUGAAACUUAUACCGAUCCUUCCCUUUUUGUAUACCCGUUGAACCACUAGAAUAAUAUUGAAUACUUGGGAAUCUCGCACACUAUGUGCUAACACGUGGUCGAAACCACUACUAUCUCAUAUCUCAUAUAAUUGCUUUCUCUCAAGCCAUAAGUGGGUCUGUUCACACAAGCUGUCAGUCAGGAUAUAGCCACAUGGUGCUGAUCACACAAGUUGUCAAGUAACUGCAACACAUGUCGGAAACUCAGCCACUGGUAGGACGUACAAGACCAGCACCUGAAACACGGUAACCUCUAAUAACAUGUCAUUUGUAUCCUAUAUAUUCCUAAGGUUCAAACGGGAUCCGAAAGUCUCCGAAACUUCGUUGGAUAUUUCCGUAGAGUCGUAAUACCAAGAAUAUAACACAAAAGAAUUUAAAUAAAACAUAAUUCAAUACUAAUUAAAUAUACAAGCUUACCUUAAACAUGAACGGAGAAAUACGAUCGAUUAAUCCAAUAUUUUUUCUUUUCCUCGAUCUAAAUCCGUACAUUGCUUUUAUUGAUCUAUAUAAUCAAAUUUAACUAAUUCAAACUUCAUUCUAUUCAAUUUAAUCCAAAAAUCAUGUUUUUGGAAAAAUUACACUUUUUCCACUAUAGUUUUGAAUUCAUUUCAAAUUAGUCCCUAGCUCAUAAAAAUAGAAAUUCAUACAAUUUAAUACCAAUCCACCAUAUUCAAACAUCACUUAGGCCCUUAAAAAUCCCUACAUUUCAAUUAUUUCAUAAUUUCAGAAAGAAUAAUUUUCUAUUUUUCAAUCUAAUCCCUAAUUGGCAAAUUCAUCAAAAUUUCCUUUACAAAAGUUGUUCAACUAUUAUCAAACGUUCAUUUUCAUCCACCAAACAUAAAAAACAACUAACAUUCAUUCAUGGUAAAACCCUAGAAUUUUAACAUUUUUGUAAAUUAGUCAUUGGGCUAGCUAGAUUACGCUACAACGACUUCAGAAACAUAGGAAUCAUUAAAAAUCGAGCAAAAAUACACUUACAUGCACUAGAAGUGUUGGCCGAAUGCUUCAAGACCUAGCUAUGGCUUCCUAUUCUUCAAUUUCGGUGGUCUUUGUCAUUAAGGAAGAUGACAUUUUAAUUGUCUUUUUGUUUUAUUAUACUAAUUAGCUUAAUUACAAUUUCAACCUUACUUUUAACCUUUAUAAUUUUAUAACUAAAGUCCAUAAUUGUCCACUAAUAUGUUAAUGGUCUAAUUACCAUUUAAGGCCACUUAUAAUUAAAUUUCAUAGUAAUUUAACACCUUUUCUAAUAGAACACAAGUCUUGCACUUUAUGCAAUUUAGUCCUUUUUAUCAAAUAAAAGAUACAAACGAUAACAUUUCUUCAUGAAAUUUUUAUACGAUGCUAUUAUCAUGCUGCAAACCUUAAAAUAAUAAAAUAACUUUUUUGACAUUAGAUUUGUGGUCCCGAAACCACUAUUCUAAUUUCACUAAAAAACGGGUUGUUACACUUAGCCUGUGUCCUCACCUAUGUAACUCACUAAGUAGGGUCACACGGCCAUGUCACACGUCCGUGUGCUAGGUGGCGUAACACUUGAAAUUGCCCCACAUGCCCGUAUGCCAGGCUGUGUGCUAGGUCGUGUAACUCAUUGAUUUGCACUUUAAGAACGCAUCAAAUGACACACGACCGUGUCACCAGGCCGUGUGUCUCACACAGUUGAGUCAUACGCUCGUGUCUCAGGCCGUGUGGACCCAAAAUGAACCUUAAAUAAUAAGUUUACCAUUUCAAGCUUACUUUGACUCUAAAUAAUCCAUUUACCAGCCAAAAGACCUAUUCAAAGUGACAUUAAACAAGCCAAAAAUAUGCCAAAUCAACAUCCUAAGUGCCUAACCAAUGUAUCAUCAUUUAUAACACAAGUAUAUACAAUUAUACAUCAAAAUGAAACAUCAAUCACAACUUAUCAAUUCAUCAAAUCUAACACCUAACCAAUAUAGCAAUCAUAGGCACCUCAAACACAACAUUGCAUUAACACAUAUCAUUCAUAUUUGCAUUGAAACAUCUUACCUCAUUCACAUGUAUCAUAUAAGUUAGCAAUUUACAUAUAAGAUCAUACUUAGCAUUUUACAUAUCCAAAACAUUAGUAAUGACAUACAAUCCUAUUACAUUCCAUAUAAUCUGAAAUGAACGUUCCAAAAACUAUCGAAAUUUAUGGAUAGUGUGACUUAAGUGCCGAUCCGAUCGUCCAACCUUCUGAAUAUCUAAAAGAACAAUCAAUAACACAAGUAAGCUCAAUAAAGCUUAGUAAGUUCGACAUAUUAAAACGAUAAAUCUUACCGAAGUAAAUACAACAAAUCAAAUAAUAAUACAACCAUGAAUGUUCCCUGCCAUCUACAAUCUCGACCGGUAAAUCAUAAAAGUUCAAUUCAAUACUCAAAUAUAUGACAAAACUAUCAAAAUAACUAAUCAAGAUACCGUAUCAAUAUUUUCAACUCGAUGAAUGACUUACGGAUAAGAGUACAUCGAUAAUCUAACCGAAACACACUAGAUGCUCAUAAGGGCUAAUCCAUCCGAAACACACCAAUGCUUAGAAGAGCUAAUCCAUUCGAAAUACACCAAAACAUAGAGUAUAACACGAGAGUUUGCAACAAAUGUUGAACCUUGGUCCACUAGGGAAGCAAUCCCCACUACAAUCCCCCAUAACGUACCAUAUCUCGAUUGUACUCUACCCCGUGGUCAAUUCGAUCCAAAUAUUUCAAUAACAAUCCUCAAUUAACCUUAUAUCAUCUAUAAUCAAAUAUAUAUACUAUACCAUUAUAUAUCAUUCAAAAUUUCAUAUAGAUGCUAAAUUUUAAAUCGUACGAACUUACCUGGAUUGAAUUGUAGUAGUUGCAGAAGUUUAAGGAUUAUUCUGUAAUUUUUCCUUUUCCACGAGUAUCAACUGGGUCUUUAUCUAAAAUGUAAAAUUUCUUAAUUAUCAGCUUACAUUUCACAUUCCAAUUCAUUUUACAUUUUAUACCCUUUUAUUUUUUGAAUUUACCAAUUACCCUCAAACUUUUACAAUUUUUUCAAUUUAGUCCAUUGACCCAAAAAUCAUUAAUUAACUGUUUUUCUCAAGUGAACAUGAUAAUCUAAUAUACUAGGCCCUUCCCUACUAAACACCAAAUUCACUAUCAAACCCUAAAGUUUUGACAUUUUCACAAUUUAAUCCCUAAAUCAAAAUCUAACAAAAAUUACUUCAAAAAAUCACCAAAUAACAAAAUCAAAGCUUCAAAUACAUAAGUAUUAUAAAACAAAAAUUCAAGAUUCAUCCAUGACAACUUCUAAAAUUUUUAACAGAUUCAAAAACGAAAGUACGGGCUAGUUGGACCUAAUUGCAACGAUAUCAAAAACAUAAAAAUUACAAGAAUUGAACUCAUAUGCACAACGAUGAAGAAACCGAAACUUAAAGCUUUCUCAUGUGGUGGUUUCGGCAAAGGUUGAAGAAAAAUGAAUAGGAAAACUUUAAUUUUCAAUUUGUUUUGUUUAAUUUCAACUAAAUUACAAUUUUGCCAUUAAAAUUACAUUUUUUAUCAUUUUCUAUUGUUUAGCCGUCCAACCAAGUUAAUUAGGACUAACUUAACCCUUAAGUCAUUCCUUAUUUAACUUUCAAGCUAUUUAAUAAACUAAUUGCGAUAAUUAUAAGUUUUGCGCCUUUUACAAAUUAGUCUUUUUUCUUUAAUUAGCUAUCUAAACGUUAAUAUUUCUGAACCAAAAUUUAUUAUGAAUCUAAUGACUCCAUAAAAGUUCUAAAAAUAAUAUUUACGAGUCGACACAAUGAAAAUUCGUGGUCCCAAAACCACUGUUCCGUCACCACUGAAAAUCGGGCUAUUAUAGUUAUUCAUUAAAAAGUUGAAUUAAAAAUAAAAUUAAAGAAACUUGAAAUCAACAUGUUUAUUAAUUAGAAACUAAAAAUUUAGAAUAAAAAUAAAAAGGCUUGAAAUAACUUGAAGUACAUAUUUAUUAUUAUUUUGUUUGUAUAAAUAAAAAGAGUUAUGAAUUAAAAAUAAAAUAAAAUAACUUGAAAAACAUGUAUAUUAAUUAAAAACUAAAAACGAAAUAAAAUAAAAUAAAAUAAAAUUAAAAAUUUUAUCACACGAAAAUCACGCAUUUAAAACAUAAAUUUAUAUAAUUAAAAAUAACAUACAAAUUAAGCAAUCACCACUUGCCUUAGAAAAAAAAAUUAAAGGCCACCUUCGUAAGGAAUUAAUUAGAUAAAAUUAAGUUGGAACACUCAAUUAAUGAAAUUAUUGGUUGUUUGGAUGAUGAGAAUCAAGUUUAAAUUGUUGUUGAGAUCCAUCUCAAAAUUUGGAAAAAGAAAUUGCAGGGGUUGGAAGAGAACCAAGUUAUAGAGAUUUAUUUCAAAAUUUAGAAUUAUUUUUAAUGAAUUUGUAUAUUAAAGUAAAAAAGUUUAAAAUAUAUUUGAAUAAUAUGAUUAUUUUAAUUAUGAAAUAAUAUUUUUGUAAUUUUCUUAAUUAAGUUGGUGUUUGAUUGACUCGUGACAACAACACAACCAUGUGCUUAAAUAAUUGGAUAGAUAUGCAAUUGAUGGAGAUAAUAAAAUAAAAUGUAUAAAAAAUAUUAAAAUAAAAUUUUGGUGGAAUGAUAAAUUUAGAGUUUUACUAAUUUAAUAGGUGUGGGUUUACAACUUUAUUAGUUUUUCUAAAAUAAAAUAUCAAAUAGUAUAAUUUAUUAAUAUUUUCAUAAUUUUACUUGUGAUACCACGUAAUACUAUAAAUAAGCUUUACAUCAGCAAUUAAUCACCCACCCAAUUUUGUCGAGUCAGCAACCAUAAAAUAAGCUUUUGUCCAGUCAACAACAAAAGUCUAUUCCGUAAAAAGAAUGGAUUUGAAUUUUUUUCAAUACAAAUUAGAAGGAUAAAUUUAAUUUAUAGUCGCGUAUAUUAUUUCUUUCCUUCCUUGAAUAAUAAAAAAAUCCACUUAAAUCCUUAAUUUUUCUUUUUCUAAUUUAGCCCUAUAAAUAAGGUAGUUAGCAGCCACAGUAGUCUAUGAACCUAAAACUUGAAUUCCAAUACCUCCCAUAAUCACCAUGGAUCUUUACACUUACCUUCAAUCAAUUGCAAUUUUGUUGCUGUUGUUAUAUACUUUCUCGAGAAGAGCACCCAAAAAUUCCAAGAAAAAUUGCAUCCCUGAACCAUC
rnacentral:lncRNA from 1 species